UUGAAGCAGGAGGAGGAAGAAGAAGAGGAGGAGGAGGAGGAGGAGAAGGGGGGGGAGGUUGGGAGGUUAGGUAGAGACCUCCAGAAAAGUCUUCAGGUCGUCAGUUACGCGCACGCAGUGGUGGUGUACGCACGUUUUCUCUCGCGAGUAAAACAAUAUGCAUAGAUAUGACAGAAUGCAAAAUGCGCUAAAGAUACGGAAAUAACAGAAAACAGCCGAAUAUUUUCGUCCUGGAAAAGAAAAAAACAAUACAGAAAAA
rnacentral:lncRNA from 1 species